rnacentral:rRNA from 1 species
CGGAGGGUGCAAGCGUUAUCCGGAUUCACUGGGUUUAAAGGGUGCGUAGGAGGGCAGGUAAGUCAGUGGUGAAAUCUCCGAGCUUAACUUGGAAACUGCCGUUGAUACUAUCUGCCUUGAAUAUUGUGGAGGUGAGCGGAAUAUGUCAUGUAGCGGUGAAAUGCUUAGAUAUGACAUAGAACACCAAUUGCGAAGGCAGCUCGCUACACAUAUAUUGACUCUGAGGCACGAAAGCGUGGGGAUCAAACAGGAUUAGAUACCCUGGUAGUCCACGCCCUAAACGAUGGAUACUCGACAUACGCGAUACACUGUGUGUGUCUGAGCGAAAGCAUUAAGUAUCCCACCUGGGAAGUACGACCGCAAGGUUG